AUUGAACGCUGGCGGCAGGCCUAACACAUGCAAGUCGAGCGGAUGAGUGGAGCUUGCUCCAUGAUUCAGCGGCGGACGGGUGAGUAAUGCCUAGGAAUCUGCCUGGUAGUGGGGGACAACGUUUCGAAAGGAACGCUAAUACCGCAUACGUCCCACGGGAGAAAGGGGGGGAUCUUCGGACCUCACGCUAUCAGAUGAGCCUCGGUCGGAUUAGCUAGUUGGUGAGGUAAAGGCUCACCAAGGCGACGAUCCGUAACUGGUCUGAGAGGAUGAUCAGUCACACUGGAACUGAGACACGGUCCAGACUCCUACGGGAGGCAGCAGUGGGGAAUAUUGGACAAUGGGCGAAAGCCUGAUCCAGCCAUGCCGCGUGUGUGAAGAAGGUCUUCGGAUUGUAAAGCACUUUAAGUUGGGAGGAAGGGCAGUAAGUUAAUACCUUGCUGUUUUGACGUUACCAACAGAAUAAGCACCGGCUAACUUCGUGCCAGCCGCCGCAGUAACAC
rnacentral:rRNA from 1 species